UCUAGGUGUGAUUUUUCUGUUUUUCACAGUGGGCUCAAAUCUCUUGAUGAUUUACUUCGUUUUGUAUGUGUACGACAUUCGAGAGUUUAUGGAUUAUGCACCAGUUUUAUUUGCGUCAUUCUAUGUAACUUACAUAAGUCGAAUUCUACUUGAAUUUAUUAAAGAAAAAUUUCAGUCAGGGGUUGCCAUUUUAUCAGCGAUAUUUAAAGGCAAAAUUAUUCACACUUUACCAGACGAUAUAAGCCUUUGGGCCCUAGACUCCGGUGGUGAGAAAAUCCACUCCGAAAUUAGGUUUAAAGCCAGGAUGGUGACAAUUUUUGUUAUUUGCAAUACUCUACUCAUUAUUGGUGGUAUUAUACUCAACCUAAUACCUCUGUCGGACGAUCUUCAUGUUUAUUUCGCUUUGCGUUUCAUCCACGAAUAUUUUCCCAAUCAUAAAACAUGUCUUAUAAUUCUUCUGAAAGCUUCAAUCUUUCCUGUCAUCCCUCACAUGCUAGUAGUGCACGCUUACCAAAUUCUCUACUAUACUCAGCACUCAAAUUUCCAAAUUCAGUUAUUUAACAAAGUUAUCGCAGAGGUUGAUUUUUGGGAAACGCCUUUACGUGAAACUGAGCUGUUUUACAGUAAACCCUAUCAAAAAGGAAUCGAAAAGAAACUAAAGUUUUGCAUUCAAAGACUUCAGGUGUUAAUCAAUGCCUACAUUGUUAAAACUAAAGAAAUUGGUACGUUAAUUGCACUGUUUGCAAUUUGUGGCGUCCUUAUGGGAAUUGGAUUUUCUUUAUAUUUAUUUUCUGGAAAAUUUACUCCUGAGUAUUAUUUACGACUGACUUUCAUGACGCUUGUUGCUGUUACGACUUUUUCGUCCAUUAUCUGGGGAGGUCAAUCGACUGAAACUAUCAUAACUGAAAUGAUUACGGCAUUAUGUCAAGUUCGGUGGUACAAUUUUAGUCAAACCAAUAAAAAACUCUAUUUAAUUCUUUUAACAAACAUGAUGAAAGAUCGGAAAAUCAAAUUUACGGAGAAUUAUUCCAUCAACUACCAGCUAGGACUGGCCAUCGUCAGAGGAAUUUACUCGAUCAUGUCUGUUGUUGUAAAAAUGCGCUCAUAAACACCUAUUAGUUGUUUCAAAACUAGAAAUGCCAACGUUACACUUUAUCGAAUUAUUUUUGUAAAUAAGGUUGAUAAAAAUGUAAAAUACCUAGUUAUUAAUGAAUAGAUCUCUCAUUGAAAUUGCAUAUUACAUUAGCUAUUAAUUUUUUGAAAUGCAUGAUUAAUUUAUAACAAUUAACAUUUAGUCUGUGCAUUUGGAGAAAAUGUUGGGAUUUUUGUAGUUUGGAAACAGUUAAUGAAUAAUCGCGUAUAAAUGUUUAACUUCGAAUGUUUGGCAUCCUGUGAUUUAUUUGUAUUGGUUGUGUUUUAGUAAGUUUUUUAUUAUUCAACACGUACCCAGUACUAAUGUCGUCAAAAAUUACUUUCUAUUUUUUAUUAAUUUUUAAAAUUUCAAGGUGUAAAACCGAUUUUUUUUAGUUUUUGUUUUUUUUUUAUGUAAUUUUUGACCCGAUUUGAAAGAAAUAGGGACAUGUAGUAAGCUAAAAAGGUAUCCUAAUGAGCCCAAAGAAAUACUAGCUUAGCAUUAAAAAUAUUAUUGUGACAUAAUACUUUUUUGGGGCAAGUUGUAUAAUCAAAAAUAUUUUCCUAAAAUACAUAUAAUAAAAAAUAACGUCUACAAAAUAUUAAAAGUCCAACUUUACUAAUAACUGAGCCACAGAAGACGGAAGCUGAGGUGGACGACUCUGAAUACAUAUAAUUAAAAGUAAUCACCCAGUUCACUGAUAUUGUCGCCGAAUACUUAAUUAAAUUAAUUUCUUCUUGAUCUUUUACCAUAAUGUACAUACAUAUUAAAAUAUUUAUUAGAGUAAUGAUAAUAGGAAUAAUUAGAACCUUUAUUUACUUCUACUCCAAUUACUGUUAAUUUAUUAUUUUAUUAAACAAAAUAAUUUGACCUAUUAAGAGAAACUACUUGUCCCAGAAUAAAAAGUAACAUUCACUUUGAAUUCGGUUCUUGUUUUCGAAAUCCUGAAAAUGGAUCACUCGGACAUCAAACUCAUGACAGGUCGUCAAAGGAAUUUACUCGAUCAUGUCUGUUGUUGUGAAGAUGCGUUCAUAAACACCUAGCCGACGUACAACAUGAGUCACUCUGUAUAUGUUAGUUGACGUCGAACGUGCUUCAAUUUUUUCUCACGUCGUGAAAUUUAAGAAUUAGAUGCUAAAGAUUUCUGGUUUUUUAAGCACUGAACUGUGGUACAUUCUAAUUAUUAAAUUAUUAAAGUUUCAUUAUCGUUGUAGAAAAGCAAAUAAUAAUAAUAGUGAUAAUGAUAAUAAUAAUAAUAAUAA